rnacentral:rRNA from 1 species
UUCACGGAGAGUUUGAUCCUGGCUCAGGACGAACGCUGGCGGCGCGCUUAACACAUGCAAGUCGAGCGAGAACCAGGCCUUCGGGCCUGGGGACAGCGGCGAACGGGUGAGUAACACGUGGGUAAUCAACCCUCGAUACUGGGAUAGCCCGGGGAAACCCGGAUUAAUACCGG